UAUUAACAGUACACACAAUUUUGAGUGACAGAAAUGCGAGUGAAGAUCAUUUCCAACAGCUUUGUAGCUUAAUCUUUCUUGCCCACCACUCGUCGGAGGUGACUAGGCAUCAUUUUACGGAGUCGUAUGCAAUACUAACGUAGUCUAUAACUCGUGGAGACAUUUAUGCUUGAGUAGAAGAUAAUCCCAGUGCUUCUUCAACUGCUGCCUACUCUAAUCGUGCCCAGAGUUGGUGUUGAACAAUUGGACGAAUGUGUGCCAUCCAUGUUUCGUGAAGC
rnacentral:lncRNA from 1 species